AGAGUUUGAUCAUGGCUCAGGACGAACGCUGGCGGCGUGCUUAACACAUGCAAGUCGAACGGUGAAGCCCUUCGGGGUGGAUCAGUGGCGAACGGGUGAGUAACACGUGGGCAAUCUGCCCUGCACUCCGGGAUAACACCGGGAAACCGGUGCUAAUACCGGAUAUGACUCCGGAGCGCAUGCUUCGGGGUGGAAAGUUCCGGCGGUGCAGGAUGAGCCCGCGGCCUAUCAGCUUGUUGGUGGGGUGACGGCCUACCAAGGCGACGACGGGUAGCCGGCCUGAGAGGGCGACCGGCCACACUGGGACUGAGACACGGCCCAGACUCCUACGGGAGGCAGCAGUGGGGAAUAUUGCACAAUGGGCGCAAGCCUGAUGCAGCGACGCCGCGUGAGGGAUGACGGCCUUCGGGUUGUAAACCUCUUUCAGCAGGGAACAAGCUUUCGGGUGAGGGUACCUGCAGAAGAAGCACCGGCUAACUACGUGCCAGCCGCCGCGGUAAUAC
rnacentral:rRNA from 1 species